rnacentral:lncRNA from 1 species
GGGGUUAUAGGGUCUAUAGGGGGGGUUAUAGGGGUUAUAGGGGGGGCUAUAGGGGUUAUAGGGGGUUAUGGGGGGUUAUAGAGGGUUAUAGGGGGGGUUAUAGGGGUUAUAGGGCUUAUAGGGGGGGUUAUAGGAGGGUUAUAGGGUUUAUAGGGUGUUAUAGGGAGGUUAUAGGGUUUAUAAGGGGUUAUAGGGAGGUUAUAGGUGUUAUAGGGGUUAUGGGGGGGUUUAUAAGUGGGGAGGGCGCCCCCUGUUGGCCGGGAGGAUGAAUUGCAUGAAGAGGCCCCACGUUGCACGACAGGACCCUGCACUGGGGGCUGUGCAUGGACGCUUUGCACGUGGGCUUUGCACGAGGACGACGCGUUGCACCACGGCCCGGCCUUGCACGAGGGACGUGGUGAUAGAGCUGCAUCGGGGCCUUGCACGAGGACAUUGCACGAGGGGGAGCUGCAUGGCACUGCAGGACAGUGGGGGGCUGCAUUGAAGCACCACGCUUUGCACGAGGACUUUGCACAAGGACCUUUUGCACGAGGACCUUUUGCACAAGGACUUUGCACAAGUGCAUUGCCACAUUGCUUUGCACGAGGGGGGGCUGCAUGCCAUCCUAUAGCCCAGCAUUGGGGGGGGGGCUGCAUUGAGGCUCUUUGCACGAGGAUCAUUUGCACAAGCAUCAUUUGCACGAGGACCUUUUGCACUAGGACUUUGCACAAGCACAUUGCAUUGCACGAGGGGGGGCUGCAUGCCAUCCUAUAGCCCAGCAUUGGGGGGGGGGCUGCAUUGAGGCUCUUUGCACAAGGACCUUUUGCACAAGGAUCUUUUGCACAAGGACCUUUUGCACAAGGGCUUUGCACAAGCACAUUGCAUUGCACGGGGGGGGCUGCUGCAUGUCAUCCUAUAGCCCAGGCAUUGCACGGGGGGGGGGGUACACCAUCCUAUAGCCCAGCAUUGAGGGGGGGCUGCAUUGAGGCUCUUUGCACGAGGAUCAUUUGCACAAGCAUCAUUUGCACAAGCAUUAUUUGCACGAGGACCUUUUGCACUAGGACUUUGCACUAGGACUUUUUGCACGGGG